rnacentral:rRNA from 1 species
UACGUAGGGAGCAAGCGUUGUUCGGAUUUACUGGGCGUAAAGGGCGCGUAGGCGGCAGAUCAAGUCAGCUGUGAAAUCUCCGAGCUUAACUCGGAACUGUCAGCUGAUACUGUUUUGCUAGAGUGCGGAAGGGGCAAUCGGAAUUCUUGGUGUAGCGGUGAAAUGCGUAGAUAUCGAGAGGAACACCUGAGGUGAAGACGGGUUGCUGGGCUGACACUGACGCUGAUGCGCGAAAGCCAGGGUAGCAAACGGG